rnacentral:rRNA from 1 species
AUUGAACGCUGGCGGCAUGCCUUACACAUGCAAGUCGAACGGCAGCACGGGAGCAAUCCUGGUGGCGAGUGGCGAACGGGUGAGUAAUGUAUCGGAACGUACCUUUCAGUGGGGGAUAACGUAGCGAAAGUUACGCUAAUACCGCAUAUUCUGUGAGCAGGAAAGCAGGGGACCGCAAGACCUUGCGCUGAUUGAGCGGCCGAUAUCAGAUUAGCUAGUUGGUGAGGUAAAGGCUCACCAAGGCGACGAUCUGUAGCGGGUCUGAGAGGAUGAUCCGCCACACUGGAACUGAGACACGGUCCAGACUCCUACGGGAGGCAGCAGUGGGGAAUUUUGGUACAAUGGGCGCAAGCCUGAUCCAGCCAUGCCGCGUGAGUGAAGAAGGCCUUCGGU